UCGAUAAGUGUACGAUGCGUUGCACGAAUGCUUGGGGUUCGAUUUUAGAAGUCUAUUUCGUUCUUAGUUACUUUUACGUUCAUGACUGAUACGACCGGAUGUUGCAUCAGCGAUCAUGAAUAUAUCGUAGGUUAGUAAAUUGUGUUUUGAUAGCCAACCAACGUAACUUGUUUUGAUCAGUGAAAUUUCUGAAAUAUUCCAAAACUUAAUUGAAAGAAGUCGGAGAUCAAAGCCUUUAAUAUAUCAGAUAAGUUGUAGUUUUGAAGAAGUAUAAUUGUUUUUAUAUUUGCUAAUAAGAAAAUAUAUUUUAUGGCUCGUUUUUACACAGGUAAUAAAAUAUAAGCGAAAGGAUAAUUAAUAACGCAGUGUUUGUGACAAGAAGUGGUUUAUUGGAGACAUGCACAGAAAAAUAAUCCCAGACGUCUAAUCAUAAAAUAUUAGGGCACUAUGUUAAGAAUGAGAUCAGAUAUAAGUUACUGUAAAAAUAUUAAAAACAUAAAAUGUUUAUAUUUUUGUUCCAAUCGCCUGACAAUGUCAAUACCUUAAUCGCGAAAGUAGAGACAGCAGUAGAGUGUAUCGACAUUUUGGAAACAGUCAUGCUUGCCAAUGCGUGAGUGAGAUUUCCAGCAGACCAACAUCCAACCAUUACGUUUGUACAGGACAGCAGCGUUGUUCACAAUACCCACGUGACACGAAAUUGAUUCAAUGAUCAUCCCGAGGUAGAAAAAAUAAAAAAAUUGGUCUUGCAAGUCUCUUUAAACCCCAUUGAAAAUUUAGGGAAUUAUGAUCAGGGAAUGGGGGGGGGGGAGAUCUGGAAAGCAUAGAACUCGAGAUGCAUUAAUCCAAUACA